UGCGCAGGCGGCCUGAUAAGUAGGAUGUGAAAUCUCUCGGCCCAACCGAGGAACUGCGUUCUAAACUGUCAGGCUUGAGUGAGAUAGGGGUGUGCGGAACUUCUAGUGGAGCGGUGAAAUGUGUUGAUAUUAGAAGGAACACCAGUAGCGAAGGCGGCACACUGGGUCUCAACUGACGCUCAUGCACGAAAGCCAGGGUAGCGAACG
rnacentral:rRNA from 1 species